GUGCCAGCAGCCGCGGUAAUACGGAGGAUCCAAGCGUUAUCCGGAAUCAUUGGGUUUAAAGGGUCCGUAGGCGGGCAGUUAAGUCAGUGGUGAAAGUCUUCCGCUCAACGGGAGAACUGCCAUUGAUACUGAUUGUCUUGAGUUAUUAUGAAGUGGUUAGAAUGAGUAGUGUAGCGGUGAAAUGCAUAGAUAUUACUCAGAAUACCGAUUGCGAAGGCAGAUCACUAAUAAUAUACUGACGCUGAUGGACGAAAGCGUAGGUAGCGAACAGGAUUAGAUACCCUGGUAGUCUACGCCGUAAACGAUGGGUUACUAGCUGUUCGGCCCGAUUAAGGGCUGAGUGGUUUAAGCGAAAAGUGAUAAGUAACCCCACCUGGGGAGUACGUUUCGCAAGAAUGAAAACUCAAAGGAAUUGACGG
rnacentral:rRNA from 1 species